rnacentral:rRNA from 1 species
CCCCUAGAUGUUCUGGGCCGCACGCGCGCUACACUGAACAGUUCAACAAGUCUUAACCUUGGCCGAUAGGUCUGGGUAAUCUUUGAACGCUGUUCGUGAUUGGGAUAGACCUUUGCAAUUAUGGGUCUUCAACGAGGAAUUCCUAGUAAACGCAAGUCCUCAGCUUGCAUUGAUUACGUCCCUGCCCUUUGUACACACCGCCCGUCGCACCUACCGAUUGAAUGGUCCGGUGAAAUCUCGGGACGGCGGCUUGGUCGCUUGCGUCCGACUGCUGAAACUUGAUUAAACCAUAUCAUUUAGAGGAAGGUGAAGUCGUANCA